CCUACGGGAGGCUGCAGUGGGGAAUAUUGCACAAUGGGCGCAAGCCUGAUGCAGCCAUGCCGCGUGUGUGAAGAAGGCCUUCGGGUUGUAAAGCACUUUCAGCGGGGAGGAAGGCGGUGAGGUUAAUAACCUCAUCGAUUGACGUUACCCGCAGAAGAAGCACCGGCUAACUCCGUGCCAGCAGCCGCGGUAAUACGGAGGGUGCAGGCGUUAAUCGGAAUUACUGGGCGUAAAGCGCACGCAGGCGGUCUGUCAAGUCGGAUGUGAAAUCCCCGGGCUCAACCUGGGAACUGCAUUCGAAACUGGCAGGCUAGAGUCUUGGAGAGGGGGGUAGAAGUCCAGGUGUAGCGGUGAAAUGCGUAGAGAUCUGGAGGAAUACCGGUGGCGAAGGCGGCCCCCUGGACAAAGACUGACGCUCAGGUGCGAAAGCGUGGGGAGCAAACAGGAUUAGAUACCCCUGUAGUC
rnacentral:rRNA from 1 species